AUUGAACGCUGGCGGCAGGCCUAACACAUGCAAGUCGAGCGGAUGACGGGAGCUUGCUCCUUGAUUCAGCGGCGGACGGGUGAGUAAUGCCUAGGAAUCUGCCUGGUAGUGGGGGACAACGUUUCGAAAGGAACGCUAAUACCGCAUACGUCCUACGGGAGAAAGCAGGGGACCUUCGGGCCUUGCGCUAUCAGAUGAGCCUAGGUCGGAUUAGCUAGUAGGUGAGGUAAUGGCUCACCUAGGCGACGAUCCGUAACUGGUCUGAGAGGAUGAUCAGUCACACUGGAACUGAGACACGGUCCAGACUACUACGGGAGGCAGCAGUGGGGAAUAUUGGACAAUGGGCGAAAGCCUGAUCCAGCCAUGCCGCGUGUGUGAAGAAGGUCUUCGGAUUGUAAAGCACUUUAAGUUGGGAGGAAGGGCAGUAAGUUAAUACCUUGCUGUUUUGACGUUACCGACAGAAUAAGCACCGGCUAACUCUGUGCCAGCCGCCGCCGUAACAC
rnacentral:rRNA from 1 species